AUAGGACGCUUCAAUACGGACAUGGUGAGAAGAGUCUAUUGAGCUAGUUGGUAGUCCUCCGGCCCCUGAAUGCGGCUAAUCCUAACUGCAGAGCAGAUUCCCACACGCCAGUGGGUAGUCUGUCGUAACGGGCAACUCUGCAGCGGAACCGACUACUUUGGGUGUCCGUGUUUCCUUUUAUUCUUGUACUGGCUGCUUAUGGUGACAAUUGAAAGAUUGUUACCAUAUAGCUAUUGGAUUGGCCACCCAGUG
rfam:Human echovirus 30 genomic RNA for partial polyprotein gene, isolate ITA97-05